rnacentral:tRNA from 1 species
GUCGAUGUAGUUCAGUGGCUAAGAGCAUUUUGACUGUUCUUCCAGAGGACCUGGAUUUAAUUCCCAGUAUCCACA